ensembl:snRNA U6 U6 spliceosomal RNA
GUGCUCGCUUUGUCUGCACAUAUUCUAAAAUUGGAACACUACAGAGAAGAUUAGCAUGACCCCUGUGCAAGGAUGACAUGCAAAUUCAUGUCAUUAUAUCUCUUUAU